ensembl:lncRNA
GGACCCAAGGAGCCCCAGGUGCCCCAGGGCUGGUGGGGCUGCAGAGCUGCGCAGGAGCAGCCUUUGCACAGCCCUGGGAUCACCCAGGCUGGAAAAGUCCUCCAAGGUCACCAAGCUGUGCCCGAGCCCACCUCGGCAGCCAGCCCCGAGCACUGAGGGCCACAUCCAGCCCAGGAACACAAAUCUGGGAAUUUCAUCCCCUGACUCAACUUUGGCUCCGUCUCUUUUGCUUCUUAAGGAGUUUCCUGCAGCCCCCCAGCGCUCACAGGUACCUGUGUGGGAUUUGUGGGUAUGGAAGAGGGGCACAUCCCUGGGAUUCAGCGUUUCUGAGGGGAAAACAACAUUUCACACUCAUUUUAAUUCCCAGUCCGACACCAACCAGCACAGACUUAUCACCAAACUUGCCCCAAUCAAAUUCCCCCCCAUCACAGGCUGAGCAGAACAGCACAUUUCACCCCAAAAACACCUAAACAGCCCCAAAAAACAGGUCAGAAAUCACAUAUCUGCUUGAAAACUUUCACUGCAACUCCCACACACAAAGUUUAAUGCAAACAGGCACAUUUUACAAGUGUUUUCAACUUAAAAUCAUAAAUACUGGUAGGUUUUAAAGAAUUAGCAAUUGACAUCAUCUAUAAAUGCAUAAAUCUGAUGGUACAGAGCUCCCGAGCCCAAAUUUGUAUUUGCUCCACUUCAACAAGAAUUAAGAGAACGGAAUGAGUUCCCUUCAGCUGCAUGAAAACCAGAGCCUGAAAGACAGAAAGUGGCAAAAGAGAAACAAUUCAAGGAAUGCUCUGAUCAAAUUUCAGGGAGGAAAAAAGUUGCCUAAUAGAAUCCUGGUUUUCCUUUACUAUAAUAAAUAACUCUAUAAAACGUUUUGGCUAAAUGGCUUCAGUGCCCAUGUGUGAGUGCAGACACAGGAGCGCUCCAGCUGGGAGCUGCCAGCCCUCCCAAGGCUUGGGAUUCACCUGCAGCCAUCAUUUUAUACAUUCUGAAAUGAAAUUUUCCUGCAGUUCAGCGCUGGCCACAUCCUGGCCGCGUUUCUUUCAGGAAGAUGACAAAGUCUGCAGGGGGAGAAGCACAAAAGCGAUCAGGGGAAGGCGGCCCCGCUGCGGGGAUGCUGACACAGAGGAUGUUCCUCCCUCCCAGCCCCUGCCCAGAGCCGCCUGUACCCGGGCACCGCGGGCACAGAGUGCCCCAGGCCCCCGGGCAGCGCCGCAGAGCCGAGCCCGAGGGGUGCAGAGAGAACCGGGGGUGCUGAGACACCCAGGGGUGCUGAGACACCCAGGGGUGCAGAGAGAACCGGGGGUGCUGAGACACCCAGGGGUGCUGAGAGAACCGGGGGUGCUGAGACACCCGGGGGUGCUGAGACACCCAGGGGUGCUGAGAGAACCGGGGGUGCUGAGACACCCGGGGGUGCUGAGAGAACCAGGGAUGCUGAGAGAACCAGGGGUGCUGAGAGAACCAGGGAUGCUGAGAGAACCAGGGGUGCUGAGACACCCAGGGAUGCAGAGAGAACCCAGGGGUGCUGAGACACCCAGGGGUGCAGAGAGAACCGGGGGUGCUGAGACACCCAGGGGUGCAGAGAGAACCGGGGGUGCUGAGACACCCAGGGGUGCAGAGAGAACCAGGGGUGCUGAGACACCCAGGGGUGCUGAGAGAACCGGGGGUGCUGAGAGAACCGGGGGUGCUGAGAGAACCGGGGGUGCUGAGACACCCGGGGGUGCUGAGAGAACCCAGGGGUGCUGA